rnacentral:rRNA from 1 species
GACGAACGCUGGCGGCGUGCUUUAGGCAUGCAAGUCGAACGCGAAAGCCCCUUCGGGGGUGGGUGGAGUGGCGAACGGGUGGGUAACACGGGGGUAACCUGCCCCUCGCAGGGGGAUAACCGGGGGAAACCCCGGCUAAUACCCCGUACGCUUGCUGGGGCGCAUGCUCCGGCAAGGAAAGGUAGCUUCGGCCAUCCGCCGGGGGAGGGGCCCGCGGCCCAUUAGCUAGUUGGUGGGGUAACGGCCCACCAAGGCGACGAUGGGUAGCUGGCCUGAGAGGGUGGUCAGCCACACUGGGACUGAGACACGGCCCAGACUCCUACGGGAGGCAGCAGCCAGGAAUCUUGCGCAAUGGGCGAAAGCCUGACGCAGCAACGCCGCGUGGGCGAUGAAGGCCUUCGGGUCGUAAAGCCCUGUUGUCGGGGACGAAGGGCGAAGGGUUAAUAGCCCCUAGCCUGACGGUACCCGACGAGGAAGCCCCGGCUAACUACGU